GGGACAUCCUCGGCAAUGAGAACGAAAAUACCCUCGAGGCCUCAGUGCGUAUCGGACGCACGAUAUCCUACGUGGAUUCACAUUUUCAUUGAAAAUAUGGCGGAAUGCACAGUUGAAACUAAUGAUAAAUUGUUGGAGUUGGAAAAUAAACAGAAGAUGAUCGACAGAGCUCCGUUUCGAGGUUUGAAAAUUAAAGAUGCCAAGAUAUUGGACACAAUCGACGGUAGAACAAAAUGCAAACUUUGUUGCAAAUCGCGGAAAUUCUUCUGUUACACCUGUUGCUUACCUGUCAUCGAAGACUCAUAUUUUCCACGAGUGAAGCUGCCAAUUAAAAUCGAUAUCAUUAAACAUGUUCGUGAGAUAGAUGGCAAAAGUACAGCUAUCCAUGCCGCGAUACUUGCUCCAGAUGAUGUAAAAAUUUAUACAUAUCCAGAUUUUCCAGAAAUACCAAAUAAAGAAGAAACUGUUUUAAUUUUUCCCAGCAAUGAUGCCAAGGCUAUAAGUGUUGAAGCUUUCUUUAAAAAGGAACAAGAAAAAUGUGAUGCUUCAGCAAUGAGGCCCAAGACUAUAUUUCCUAUAAAAAGGGCUAUUUUCAUUGAUAGCACAUGGCAGCAAACCAAAGCGAUAUAUAAAGACCAAAGAUUGAGAGAAUUACAGUGCAUCACAUUAAGAUCGAGAUUUUCUCAAUUUUGGCGUCAUCAGAAAAAGAGCCCCAGAUGGUUUCUAGCAACAAUUGAAGCGAUUCAUCAAUUUCUAGUGGAAUUACAUACAUGUGCUCUUGGGGCAGUAGAAGAAUAUGCUGAUUUAGAUGGUUCUUUGAAUGGAGGACAGAAUUUUGUAAAUAACAGUGAAGAAAUGGAAGAUUGUUCUGAAAUAAUGCAGAAAUACAAUGGACAUCUCGUGGCACAUGCUCAAUCUAUUUAUACUAUGUCUAUGGUUUAGUUUCUCACUUCUUUUGUUCAUAUGCUAAUAAAGUCAGAGAACGUAAUGGCUCUGCAAGGAAGUCGUGGCUAGAAAGGAGUAAGAAGAAGAAGAAAGUCAAAGAGAUUCGUUAGACGAGAUAUUGAACAGUAAUUAUAACAUGGCGAAGACCAAAA
rnacentral:misc_RNA from 1 species